UUGGUUAUUAUAUUUUAAGAUAUACGUAUGUAAAAGAAUUGCUAUUUACAAGCAUCAAUAAAGAUUUGAAAUUAAAUUAAAAUUAAAGCUAAAGUUAAAAUAAAUCAAAAUAAGAAGCUAAAUCAAACCGCAAAACUACAAAAAUUCUUAAAACUGUAACAAAUUUUAGUUUCAAAUUUUCUUCCUAAAAGUUAAAGAAUCAAAAAUUUCAUUCCGAUUUCAAUCAGCAUUUGAACCGAAACCAAACACUUCUAGUUUUAAGUUGGUAGACCAUGUCUAAAAUGAGUGUAAAAUGAGAUUUAUAUUACCACGUAGAGGUUUCCUUUUAAUAUUUUAUUAAAAAUAUAAAUUUGAAAAAUAAUAAUGAUAAUGUUUAUACAUGUAUUUAUUAAAAAAACAUAAAAUUACUGUCAAGCAGGCUUCAAAAUUCACGACGGAAAAGGCCUUCUCUCCAUCCAUCACUUCUCUCCAUCCAUUACUUGACUCAUCGCAUUUUCAUGCAUCAAAGAAUACCAGUAACAACAGAUAGGAAUACAAUACAUACCAACUCAUAUAACACGCACAACCCUGACCAAUAAAUGGAACCAUAAAUCCAGCUAUUUAAUGCCUCCCAAGUUCACAAGUGAUUAAAGAAAGAUGUCCGUAACAAAAAAUAACAGGAUCAAGUUGAACAGGUGGUGUUGUUGUUGGCAAAUAAAAAAUAAAAAUCAAAAAAGGCCCCCGUGGAACUUCAACUCUUCAAUCCUCAUGUUCAAAAAGCAGAACCACAUUAGGGGAGAGAGAGAGAGAUAGAGAGAGAGUUAUAAGAACUAAUUACAUGAUAAUACAACCUCCCCUUUUCCAAGGAAUCAGAGAAAAAAAU
rnacentral:lncRNA from 1 species